UUCAUCAUUUCUUUUACAUCACAUUUGCUCAAAAUAAACAUUACAUUCUUUCAUUCUUGGCUCUAUACAUUAACAUCUUAAAUCAUCAAAUACAAAAGAUGGUAAAAGGGUGAACUACUAACAAAAGGUAAGUAACCCGACUCGGGUGGCCUCUGACUAAGAUGCGAUACCUUUACCGUGGUCGCUCGCCGGCUCGCUCGGUCCCGGCUCUGUGGAAUAGUGGGGUGAGAACUACAACAAAGUUUCCAGUGGGUUCGGCCCCAACAUCACCGACUUUCCCACUAGGACUAACUCAGGCAUAAUAGAAAGGAUAAGCUGAAAUAUAGUAACCAAUCUACAAUAUGAUGCUAAUAUGCCUGAACAAUAAAGCAAGGAAUAUGCUCAACAUAAUUAUGCAGAUUAUGCAAGUGCUUUGUUCUUUACUCUUUAUUCUUUAAUCAUUGCUCUUUGUUCUUGUUCUUAAAUCUCACGGCUAACCCGGGGGUUUCGCCUCAUUAAACUUGCUUCACAUUAAGUCCAUCAUCGCAGGAACUCACCCGCUAGGACCGUCCUCGGGUUUACUCCAA
rnacentral:lncRNA from 1 species